rnacentral:rRNA from 1 species
UGAUUCUCAGUGUCGNUAGGUAACCCGGUAAGCACUCCGCCUGGGGAGUACGCUCGCAAGAGUGAAACUUAAAGGAAUUGACGGGGACUCGCACAAGCAGUGGAGCAUGUGGUUUAAUCCGAUACAACGCGUAGAACCUUACCAAGGCUUGACAUGUUCGGCAAAACUGUGGAAACACAGCGGAGGUUAUCCGGACACAGGUGCUGCAUGGCCGUCGUCAGUUCGUGCCGUGAGGUGUAUGGUUAAGUCCUAUAACGAACGCAACCCUUGGGCUUAGUUGCCAGCAUUUAGUUGGGGACUCUAAGCCGACUGCCUGAGUAAUCAGGAGGAAGGAAAGGAUGACGCCUGGUCGUCAUGGCCCUUAUGCCUUGGGCGACACACGUGCUACAAUGGUUAGUACAAAGGGUCGCCAACCCGCGAGGGGGAGCUAAUCUCAAAAAACUAACCGCAGUUCAGAUUGGAGGCUGCAACUCGCCUCCAUGAAGGUGGAAUUGCUAGUAAUCGUAAAUCAGCCAUGUUACGGUGAAUACGUUCUCGAGUCUUGUACACACCGCCCGUCAAAUCACGAAAGUCGGUAAUGCCUAAAACCAGUUGAUUAACCCGCAAGGGAUACAGCUGACAAGGGUAGGAUUGGCAAUUGGGGUUAAGUCGUAANCAAGGUACCC